rnacentral:misc_RNA from 1 species
GAACGCCAUCAACUGCAGCGGUGCACUUCUUCACAAACACGAGCAUAUAUGCACAAACGCUAAGCAACAGCUACGGAAUCCAAAACGGAGACACGCACCUUUUUCCUGCCUCAAUGCGAGCACGUAAACUUUCAAAGGACUCUUCACAUCACUGUUACCUUAUCCUUCCUCCCUCCAAAUCUGCCUCUCUGAGGAUGGGUGAGGGGUGCCUUACAGACCCGCACACACGCGUGACCAGAAAGAACUCACGAAAAGGGAGGGGCAGGGAGCCCAACACCCCGCACCCAUUUCCCUUUCUCUCGUCUCUUUAUUCCUUAGUACUUUCACCACGUAACUGCGUCUUUCACACCAACGCGUUGCACAUACACAUACACACGUACACCCAACCGUCUUUGCAUAACUCAUAGACACAGAAGCUCUGCGUUCACAGAGAUAGCGAAAAAAAAAGGAGCUACCUCAAAACCCUUUUCCUUCAAUCGAACACACCGCCAAGCGAGACGUGCGGUGAAGCUUCAGUGUGUUAAGGGCGUAUUCAGCGCGGCUGUGUGUCUCCGCUGACACAGCACUCAAGAGGGUGCGACGAGCCUUCCAGUGCGCACAGCAACGUGGUAGCAGCCUCCAAAGAGACAGGCCGAAAGGGGGCGGUGAAUACCUCGGGAAGCAGGGCGCAGUGCCAGACACGAUGAGUGCUGAUGCCGACGCGAGUCCGACGGAUCCAUUCUUGAACUCUCGAAGUACAGAGGCGAGCCGCUCAAGGGCUGACAAUGACGGCGCCAUGGUAGUGGAGGUCGUGGACGACUGCCAGACAGCCUCGUCUUCUUCCGCCGCACCUGCUGCACCGUUCGCCACUCGUGUUCGCCCUUCCACAAUCGUCGCUAGGGGAGAAAGUCCGCAGGAAGCUAUGACGCAUCUAGCUAACAAUGCAGCGGCAUCUACAAGUGCUGCUGCAAUCAUGCACCAUUCUCGCAAGCGAGAGCGACCGGCAGUCGCAUUGGCGUCCGCAGGCUCCUCCACCUCGACAACGGCGGCGCCGCCACUCGCGCAGAGGCGACGAAUAGCUGGCCAGCGGAAGAGCGGCGCGACACCAUCAUCAUCUCGUCGCGCAGGCGGUGCCGCUCGUACGAUCGUGGAUCGUGGCCAACACUCUACUAAGGAUAGGAGUGAUGAGGAUGAACUUGCUGAAGGCGCAGGCGGUGAGUAUUGCAGCGAAAACGAAGAAGGCUACGUGCCCGACGACGGUGUAGAGGGGGACGCCGAGGAGAGAGCACUCGUUUCUGCGUCCAUCGCUUUGAUGGCGGGCCAAGGAGCGCUUACCGCCCCCUCGGCUGCCUCUGCUACGCCUCACUUGUGGCUUGUCACAGAUGCGUUUCACGUGUGUCUUUGGUAUGUCCUGCGCUAUGCAGGACGCGCGUUGAGCGCGGAGGAUCUCUGGGCGUGUCGAGCCCUCCUCUCCUUGACGGCAGUCGACGCUACCGAAGAGGAAGAUGGCGGAGAGCGUGCGACAGCGCCGUUUGCUGCGGCGCAAGCACGAAGCGCAAACAUGCAUUUCGACGACUGGGCUUGGAGUGGCAGUGAGGAAUCGGAGUUGCUCCUUAGGCUUCUCCUGCGCCAUGCGCACGGCUUCACCGCACGCCACCUCGAGCUCCGCUACGGAGACUGGCUGCACGUGCAGCCUGCCCUAAACGCGCUGACACAACGGCGCUUUCUCUGGUGGGCUACGAAACAGGCCUCGCUUGACUCUGCUGGUGGUGGUGCUGAGACUGUGUGCCUGCACGGCGCUGAGGAGGACGCGUCCACAGACUUGACGGAGACCCCCUUGCUACCGGCCGACGAGCUCGCCCGUACGGAGAUGGCGUCAUCACCGCUGGUGGAGCACUACGACGGGGCAAGAGUGGCGCGACUUCUUCUGAGUUGUUGCGACGAAGGUAGGCCGCAGCAUCGUCACGCCACUGCCGUCAGCAAGUCGGCGUCGUCGUUCAGCAGCGUGGAGACGGUCAUUCGUGUGGCACAGGCGGUGCGCGCUACGGAGCUGCGGACGUUUCUGACGACGCUGCGUCACUGCAGCAAGGCACGAGCCUUGAUGGAUGAACGCGCUCGAGGAGGUGAUGCAACCAUCACUACCCGUGCUAUCGCCUUCACCACGGCAUCCACCCUCGGAACUUCAGGCAACGCUUUGUGCAAAGAUGGCAGUUCUGGCGGGGGUGUCAUGGCGGAACCAACGCCUGUGCUGCGCCUAAAGAGCAGCGGCUGGACGGACGACGUUGCAUGUGCGCGGCCAGGGCAGAUAAGCCAUAAUAGUCUGUACGACGUGAUACCGGGACGUAAGCGAGAUAUGAUUCGCUACCUUGUUGAGCGGCGGUACUCUGUGUGGGUGCCAACAAGCACCGUCAACGGCUCACCAGCAGCGUCGGCGACUACCGAUACUCCCACCACGGAUACAAUGAUACCUUCUCACGGCCCGCCUCUUACAGCACCGCAUGCUCUCUCCUCUGCGCCGUUGAUCACCAGGCCUUCCCCUCGAGGUGCAGUUCGUUGCACCAGUGCCUUUGCGAGUGCCCCUGAUCGGUCUCCAUUUCGUCGAUGUUUCCCGACUGUGAGUGUGGAGUCGGACGCGGUGGCGCAAUGCUGGGAUCGUGUUAUCGGUUCCGUCUAUGUGCCACACUCAGGGCUAAGACAGCACCUUACGUGGAUUACGGAGCUAUUCCACGUUUUAACCUCCAACAACGGCGCCGGGAUGGUGAGCGGGCAAGGCGCGAAAGCAGUGAUGGCCACAAUGACGGUGGCUACUCCGCCAACACUGCUGAUGGUGCGGCCGCAGCUCCUGCUCCUGCUACAGACUCUCCGUGCCGCUCGCCACCAGGCGCGGCCGAGCUUGACUGAGCCGUCACCAUCUACCGCGGCGCACCCGGACCCGAAGGCCUUCAAGGAGAGCGUUCCGCAUGCCCUUCUGCCACAGUGGUGCUCACCACCACCGGUAGUAAAGGCGACAAAGGUAGCAUUGCCACGUGUAUGCGGGCAGCUGUACAGAGACAUCUCCUCUGGUGGAAGAGCAGCCAACAAGACGGAGAGUCGAUCUCGCCCUGAUGCUUCAGCCGAGCCGAGCGACAACGAUUCAAGUUUGAUGGAUACGAUUGUGCACACAUCCCGCUCAUUUCGGGACUUUGGCGCUGCUGAGGAUGGCACUGUUACCCAGGUGUGGCAGACUCCACCGCAUGUGUGUCUCUUCUCCAGCCCUGCCACCUUGCAGGAAUACCGCCGGGCCCUUUCCACUCAGCGCGAGCUGUACUGCGUGACUGAAGGCGCCGUGACUGCAGCGCAGCGCCAUCGCGGAAAGAGCAGCGCCUUCGUGUCGCACAUGUAUGACACUGUCAUGGCCGCCGUGCGUGCGGGUGUGGCGGCAGUGAAGCAGCAUCCACACCAUGCGCGCACUGCCGCCUCCGCUUCUUUGGUCUCUGGUAAGGUGACGCACUUCGGUUCCAUGCACCCGCCUGCUCCUCCCGUCGUCUCCGAAGCAGCGCCGUUGUCAAAGCACUUUACGCAAUCGGUGACUGCAUCGCUGGAGUCACUAGUUUAUCACCAAGGGUGCCACGCCGAGCAUCUUCUGAUUUUUACGCCGCUUUACCGCUGGUUUGCAUGCCUGGAGCUCUUGUUUCCACUGCUGCAGAGCGCGCGACGGUACGACGACGCCAAUGCCUGCUUGCACCACCUUCUCUAUGAACCAAUCUUUGUGCUGCAUCACAUGCCGGUGAGCGGCGCUCGCUGUCACAUCUCCCCAAUCACGUAUGAGUUUCGCUACAAACCGCACAAGCGGGGGAAGUGGGUAGCGCGGCUGGCCCAGAACCUGUCUCAUCAAAAACGUUACGCGGAGGCGUUCGCAGUGCUGGAGGAGGCUCAGGCGGGGUAUCGUGAGUUGGCGAGCCACACGGCCGACGACGCGCGCUCGGUGCCCGCCACCGGCUCCGACGGCGGCGGGCACGUGACGAAUGACAAGUGGUUGCCGUGUGAUGCUAUGUCCAACUCCACAGCAGCUGCGCUCUGCAACGUGCUUGCAGGCAAUCACUCUCCGGCCAGCGAGUCUGCGUUGCCGAUAAAGGUGCAGCAGCGCAGCCGCAUGCUUCGUGUACUCUGGCCUGCUGCUGCUUCGGCGACGUUCGCCACUGAUGAUAACAACAGUUCUCCGCCUGCGGCAGAGGGACUAUCACCUGCCUCGCUCGCGUUGCUUCACGCAGCGUGGGAGUACGUGCGGGACCGGUACUGCCGCCGCCAGGAUCGGCUCACACUGGAAAGGCUGCUGGCAGUGACGCACCGCAAAGUGCGUCAGUGGACUCCGCCAGCAGCGUAUCUGGAGUUUGCAACGCGUCGUCUCGUGGACGUGGCGAUGCGCCACAUUGGCGGCGUGCGAGAUAAGCUGGAUCGCAUGCUUUGGCGUGAACCUAGCGGUCAAGCACCUGGACGCCCAAGCAAAUCAGCAGGCGGAGCCGCGGAAGCGGCAAAGUCUACGACGCCGAGUGGUGCGCUCCACCCACAGCGUCGCCCUGCGUUGCCUGUUGAGCUGCUCGUUCUUCAGCACUAUCUGAGUCGAUGGAACGGUGCCUCGAGGACGACGGCCGCGGCCGCAAAUGCUGCCACUGAUCCGAAGCCUCGGAGGCGCAAAGGCACGCUGACGGCCAACUCCGCUAAGGCAGAAACCGAGGGGAGAGACAACGCCGGGGGCGCGAAGGUGACCUCUGUGUGGUGUGGCGUGCACUGUGAGGGCCAGUGGAUUGCGUGUCUUGCUCGAGCUCUCUUGUGGGACUGCUACUGGGCAUUUCCCUCUGUCUCUCCCCCACUUGCCAGCUUCCCAGUCAGUGCAGGCGACCACGAGUCCGACCAGCCGCCGCUACAGACCUGUUCGACCCACGAGGUGCUCUGGCUCUCUGCGUUUCAGGACGGCCCACUCGAUUUGACCACGCCUAUUCAGUUUCUAUGGCGCCGACGCGCCUUGAUCGAGGCACGCCUGGCGCAGCUGGAGCGCUGCACGAGGGAGGAACUGAUAGCAUAUGUCGGUGCCCGCAUCAAGGUGGAAGGGAACACCGCCGAAGGGGUAGGGCCGAGCAAUCUCAAGGCGCGAAGGCGAGACGCAGGGGCCGAAGCACCGCGUAAGGAAGCGCACGUAGUUCAGCGUGCGGAUGAGGACAAGGGCUACGACAGGGACGAGGAGCGAGCACGCCGUCGACGCAGUCGAGAUGAGUACGGCUGUGGCCCACAUCGCCACAGCUACACCGCAAAGAUGGAGGAGGAAUUUCGCGGGAGCAAUGAAGAAGACUCGGUGCAGAUUGCGUCUUCCCUGCCAGCAACGCCACUGCUGUCCACUGGGUCCGAGACGUCGUCGCUUGUGCUUGGGCGGGUGGUGCAGGAGAGGAACGCAGAGGCGCAAAGAGUAGAGUCGGUGAAGGACAGUGCUGACGCAUCACUCUCCUCCCGCGUCUCAACGCUUGCCGUGCCAGAGGCAUGGAAGGUGCCAGUCGGGCCGCUGCCGUUGCUCGACAUUCUGCGUGCCAUCCCCCUCGAGCCUCUUUGGCGGCUCUUGCGGUGUCUUUACCUCAGCCCAGUCACGGAAGGGGUGCCACUGGCGUUUUCUGGCUUCCCCGACUUGGUCUUUUGGCGCACUGGCGGCAGCGGCGGUGGUGAGUGCAGCAAUGCGGCUCUUCAGCCCUCAGUGGGGGGUGACUCUGCUGUACUGCGCACCUCUUUCUGCUUGAUGGAGGUAAAGGGCCCCAGCGAUUUCUUGAGCACGAAGCAGAUCGCCGUGAACGAUCUGCUGCAUCGCUGCGGUUUUGAGGUCUGCGUCGUGCGUGUGGAUGAGGUGUACGACGAUGGCCAGCGCGUCAGCACCAAACGCAUCCGCUAGGAGGUGGCAAGGGAGGUAGGUCUGGAAGGAGAACAAAAGAGGGAUAGCCACCACCGCAGCAACGGUGUGUGGGAUAAUGCUGUUUCCCGUUUUGCCGUUGUGCCAUGCUCCACGUGUGUCGCUGCUCCCUUUCUCUGUCUCGCUUUGAGUGCUGCUGCUGCCAACUGCGUGUAUGUAGGUGUGUCGUUGUCCUUGCCCCACCACUGUCGGCGUUCGCGAAAGGCGUACUGCUUAUCAUAGCUGCAUGUGCCGGUCACAUGGAAGCUGAACAAACGGUUAACGCACACACACACACACACACACACACACACACAACGCACAUAUCGCAUAAGCAUGAAGCGCUUAGCGUGCGCACUCUCUGCUUCUGCUGCUGCAAGUACGGGUACUUGCCUUUGCGUUUCUGGGUAGCAGCAACGGAUGGUGCUGCUCUUCAAACUCCUCCACGCACACUCGUGCGUGCAGACAGUGGGUUCACUUCCCAACUCUCAUGCUAUUUAUCUGUAUCCACUCCUCGGCUAGUUGUCCCUCUCUCCUUGUUACGUCCUCCUCCUCCUCUUCGCUUCGUCAAG